rnacentral:rRNA from 1 species
GAUGAACGCUAGCGGCAGGCCUAAUACAUGCAAGUCGCACGGGAUUGAGAGCUUGCUUCUCAUGAGAGUGGCGCACGGGUGCGUAACACGUAUGUAACCUACCUUAAUCAGGGGGAUAGCCUCUCGAAAGAGAGAUUAACACCGCAUAACAUUAUUGGAUAGCAUUAUUUAAUAAUCAAAUAUUUAUAGGAUUAAGAUGGGCAUGCGGAACAUUAGCUAGUUGGUAAGGUAACGGCUUACCAAGGCUACGAUGUUUAGGGGAUCUGAGAGGAUGACCCCCCACACUGGUACUGAGACACGGACCAGACGCCUACGGGAGGCAGCAGUAAGGAAUAUUGGUCAAUGGGCGCAAGCCUGAACCAGCCAUGCCGCGUGCAGGAAGACGGCCCUACGGGUUGUAAACUGCUUUUGUACCGGAAUAAACCCUUUUACGUGUAAGAGGCUGAAUGUACGGUAAGAAUAAGGAUCGGCUAACUCCGUGCCAGCAGCCGCAGUAA